GACGAACGCUGGCGGCGUGCUUAACACAUGCAAGUCGAACGAAGUGGCGAACGGGUGAGUAACGCGUAAUCAACCUGCCCUUCAGAGGGGGACAACAGUUGGAAACGACUGCUAAUACCGCAUACUGAAGGAGGGGAUUGCGUCUGCUUCGCUAGUUGGAGGGGUAACGGCCCACCAAGGCGAUGGUCAGUAGCCGGGCUGAGAGGAAGAACGACCAAAUUGGGACUGGAGCACGGGCCAGACUCCUUCGGGAGGCAGCAGGGGGGAAUCAUCCGCAAUGGAGGAAAGUCUGACGGAGCAACGCCGCGUGGGGGAUGACGGGCUUCGGGUUGUAAAGCUCUGUUAAGCGGGACGCGGUACCGGAAUAGAAAGCCACGGCUAACUACGUGCCAGCAGCCGCGGUAAUAC
rnacentral:rRNA from 1 species